GUGUUUUAUGAAAGUGAAGAAUUAAGUUAGCACUCCCCUUGACAAGAAUGGAAAAAUUCUGGUGACCUAUACCACACACAUACAUUUAGGGUAUCACCACCUUUUUAUAGCACCUAAGAAUAUUUUGA
ensembl:snRNA RNA, U6atac small nuclear 39, pseudogene